UAAAGUCUCCGGAGUCAUAUAAACAAAAAAAAAACAGGAUAUAAAAAUCACAAUAAUUAAAUAUAAAUAUUUUUUUUUACAUCAAAUCAGUGGUAUAAAUCGUAAUCAGUCGAAAUGUGUGGACCUUGCGGCGGUUGCUGUGGAGGAUGCUGCGGCCCUUGCUGCCCGUGUAUCACUAUAUACACGUGCUGUACGAAGAUUUGUUAAAGCAGUAUGAGCGGGUCGACUCUACCAUGGUACCGCGGACUAAGGUGCUUCGACCCUCGGUAUUCAGUCUACUCAGUGCCGUCUUGUCUUAAUAAAAUAUCCUAAUCCA